rnacentral:rRNA from 1 species
ACUGGUCGAGUCGGCCUGCGCGGAAGAUGUAACGGGGCUAAACCAUGCACCGAAGCUGCGGCAGCGACACUAUGUGUUGUUGGGUAGGGGAGCGUUCUGUAAGCCUGCGAAGGUGUGCUGUGAGGCAUGCUGGAGGUAUCAGAAGUGCGAAUGCUGACAUAAGUAACGAUAAAGCGGGUGAAAAGCCCGCUCGCCGGAAGACCAAGGGUUCCUGUCCAACGUUAAUCGGGGCAGGGUGAGUCGACCCCUAAGGCGAGGCCGAAAGGCGUAGUCGAUGGGAAACAGGUUAAUAUUCCUGUACUUGGUGUUACUGCGAAGGGGGGACGGAGAAGGCUAUGUUAGCCGGGCGACGGUUGUCCCGGUUUAAGCAUGUAGGCUGNGUAGGUGGGGUAACGGCUCACCUAGGCGACGAUCCCUAGCUGGUCUGAGAGGAUGACCAGCCACACUGGAACUGAGACACGGUCCAGACUCCUACGGGAGGCAGCAGUGGGGAAUAUUGCACAAUGGGCGCAAGCCUGAUGCAGCCAUGCCGCGUGUGUGAAGAAGGCCUUCGGGUUGUAAAGCACUUUCAGCGGGGAGGAAGGCGUUAAGGUUAAUAACCUUGGCGAUUGACGUUACCCGCAGAAGAAGCACCGGCUAACUCCGUGCCAGCAGCCGCGGUAAUACGGAGGGUGCAAGCGUUAAUCGGAAUUACUGGGCGUAAAGCGCACGCAGGCGGUCUGUCAAGUCGGAUGUGAAAUCCCCGGGCUCAACCUGGGAACUGCAUUCGAAACUGGCAGGCUAGAGUCUUGUAGAGGGGGGUAGAAUUCCAGGUGUAGCGGUGAAAUGCGUAGAGAUCUGGAGGAAUACCGGUGGCGAAGGCGGCCCCCUGGACAAAGACUGACGCUCAGGUGCGAAAGCGUGGGGAGCAAACAGGAUUAGAUACCCUGGUAGUCCACGCCGUAAACGAUGUCGAUUUGGAGGUUGUGCCCUUGAGGCGUGGCUUCCGGAGCUAACGCGUUAAAUCGACCGCCUGGGGAGUACGGCCGCAAGGUUAAAACUCAAAUGAAUUGACGGGGGCCCGCACAAGCGGUGGAGCAUGUGGUUUAAUUCGAUGCAACGCGAAGAACCUUACCUGGUCUUGACAUCCACAGAACUUAGCAGAGAUGCUUUGGUGCCUUCGGGAACUGUGAGACAGGUGCUGCAUGGCUGUCGUCAGCUCGUGUUGUGAAAUGUUGGGUUAAGUCCCGCAACGAGCGCAACCCUUAUCCUUUGUUGCCAGCGGUCCGGCCGGGAACUCAAAGGAGACUGCCAGUGAUAAACUGGAGGAAGGUGGGGAUGACGUCAAGUCAUCAUGGCCCUUACGACCAGGGCUACACACGUGCUACAAUGGCAUAUACAAAGAGAAGCGACCUCGCGAGAGCAAGCGGACCUCAUAAAGUAUGUCGUAGUCCGGAUUGGAGUCUGCAACUCGACUCCAUGAAGUCGGAAUCGCUAGUAAUCGUAGAUCAGAAUGCUACGGUGAAUACGUUCCCGGGCCUUGUACACACCGCCCGUCACACCAUGGGAGUGGGUUGCAAAAGAAGUAGGUAGCUUAACCUUCGGGAGGGCGCUUACCACUUUGUGAUUCAUGACUGGGGUGAAGUCGUAACAAGGUAACCGUAGGGGAACCUGCGGUUGGAUCACCU